GACGAACGCUGGCGGCGUGCUUAACACAUGCAAGUCGAGCGGUAAGGCCCUUCGGGGUACACGAGCGGCGAACGGGUGAGUAACACGUGGGUGAUCUGCCUUGCACUCUGGGAUAAGCCUGGGAAACUGGGUCUAAUACCGGAUAUGACCUGCGAUUGCAUGAUCGUGGGUGGAAAGAUUUAUCGGUGCAAGAUGAGCCCGCGGCCUAUCAGCUUGUUGGUGGGGUAAUGGCCUACCAAGGCGACGACGGGUAGCCGGCCUGAGAGGGCGACCGGCCACACUGGGACUGAGACACGGCCCAGACUCCUACGGGAGGCAGCAGUGGGGAAUAUUGCACAAUGGGCGGAAGCCUGAUGCAGCGACGCCGCGUGAGGGAUGACGGCCUUCGGGUUGUAAACCUCUUUCGACUCCGACGAAGCGAAAGUGACGGUAGGAGUAUAAGAAGCACCGGCCAACUACGUG
rnacentral:rRNA from 4 species